CGGUACGUACUGGCAUUGUUGGUUUCUCCCUUCUGACGAACCAUGAUGUCAUUUAUUUGGUGUUGUGGGGAAUCAGGACUGUUACUUUGAAAAAAUUAGAGUGUUUAAAGCAGGCUCACGCUUGAAUACAUUAGCAUGGAAUAAUGAAAUAGGACGUUUGAUUCUAUUUUGUUGGUUUCUAGGAUCGACGUAAUGAUUAAUAGGGAUAGUUGGGGGCAUUAGUAUUCAAUUGUCAGAGGUGAAAUUCUUGGAUAUAUUGAAGACUAACUACUGCGAAAGCAUUUGCCAAGGAUGUUUUCAUUAAUCAAGAACGAAAGUUAGGGGAUCGAAGACGAUCAGAUACCGUCGUAGUCUUAACCAUAAACUAUGCCGACUAGGGAUCGGAUGAUGUUAAUUUUUUAAUGACUCAUUCGGCGCCUUACG
rnacentral:rRNA from 1 species